GACGAACGCUGGCGGCGUGCUUAACACAUGCAAGUCGAACGCUGAAGACCUGGCUUUUGUUGGGUUGGAUGAGUGGCGAACGGGUGAGUAACACGUGAGUAACCUGCCCUCUUCUUUGGGAUAACGCCCGGAAACGGGUGCUAAUACUGGAUAUUCACCGAUCUUCGCAUGGGGGUUGGUGGAAAGGUUUGUUCUGGUGGGGGAUGGGCUCGCGGCCUAUCAGCUUGUUGGUGGGGUGAUGACCUACCAAGGCUUUGACGGGUAGCCGGCCUGAGAGGGUGACCGGUCACAUUGGGACUGAGAUACGGCCCAGACUCCUACGGGAGGCAGCAGUGGGGAAUAUUGCACAAUGGGCGAAAGCCUGAUGCAGCGACGCCGCGUGAGGGAUGGAGGCCUUCGGGUUGUAAACCUCUUUCGCUCAUGGUCAAGCCGCAACUGUGGGUUGUGGUGAGGGUAGUGGGUAAAGAAGCGCCGGCUAACUACGUG
rnacentral:rRNA from 1 species